rnacentral:lncRNA from 1 species
CUGGUUUGACUGAUUUCUCUUGCUAAAUUCUACCUUAAGGAUUUGUUUAGAUUUAGUUGACAUCAAGAAAAGGCAUUAUGGUUUUUGUUUUUACUGAAAAAUUCUUUUUUUUUUUAGAGAUGGUAUCUCACUCUGUCACCCAGGCUAAAGUGCAAUGGUGUGAUCAUAGCUCAAUGCAGCCUCGACUUCCUGGGCUCAAGUGAGGAAGGAUCCAGCCACCACGCUUAGUGAAAAAUUUUUUAUAUCCUCUUGAACUAUUGAUGAACAAAUAGGAAAAUAUUAUAGUUUUUUUUGUUGUUGUUGUUUAUUUGGGUUUUUUUGAGACAGGGUCCCACUCUGUUGCCUGGGCUGGAGUGGAGCAAUUCUGGCUCACUGCUGCCUUGACCUCCCUGGCUUAAGCGAUCCUCCUGCCUCAGGGUGGCUGAGACUACAGGUGUUUGAGUAGCUGGGACUACAGGCAUGCACCACCACACUUGGCUAAUUUUUGUAUUUUCUUUUGUAGAGACGGGGUUUCACCAUGUUGUCCAGGUUGGUCUUGAACUCCUGGGCUCAGCUCAAGGGAUCCGUCCAACUCGGCUUCCCAUUGUUGGGAUUAGAGGCGUGAGCCACUGUGCCCAGCCAUGGGUAUUUCUUCAGGCUAGAUUCCUAGAAGAGAAUUGGUGGGGCCAGGGGCAUAAAUAUUUUUCAGGCUCUGGGUACACUUUGCUCACUUGCUUUUUGGAAAGGUGUUGCCAAUUUAUGCUCCCAUCAGUGGUAGAUCAUCAGAGGCUGAUCAUUCCUUGCGCUCACCCUAGCAAAGGCCUAUUCUUAAUUUUUAAAGUUCAAUGGUUUUCAAUUUAAAGCAACAUACCAAUAAAGUUUCAAUCAAAGAGAUUAAUUCUGGGCUAUUGACAAGCAUUCUGAUCCCUUUCUUUUGUGACAGAUUGGGGGAAAAAUCCUACAUUUAAGUUUAAAAAAUCCACAACACAUGGUGAGUAUGUGGAGAAAUCAGAAUCUUCACCCACUGCAGGUGGGAAUGUAAAACAGCGCAGAUGCCGUGGAAAACAGUCUGUCAGUAUCUUAAAAUUUAAACACAGAAUUACCAUAUGACCCAGCAAUUCUGCUCCUACCUAUAUAACAAGAGAAAGGAAAACCUAUGUCCAUAGAGAAGAAAAAAGCUAGACACAAAAGACCACAUAUUCUAUGAUUCCAUUUACAUGAAAUGUCUAGAAUGGGGAAGUCUACAGAGAUAGAAAGUAGGCUGGGCGUGGUGGCUCAUGCCUGUAAUUCCAGCACUUUGAGGGGUGGAGGCGGGUGGAUAACUAAGGUCAGGAGUUUGAGACCAGCCAGGCCAACAUGGUGAAACCCCGUCUCUACUUAAGAAAUAUAAAAAAAUUAGCUGGGCAUGGUGGUGCACAUCUGUAAUCCCAGCUAAUCAGGAGGCUGAGGCAGGAGAAUUGCUUGAACCUGGGAGGUGGAGGUUGCAGUGAGCCAAGACUGC